rnacentral:rRNA from 1 species
AGUAGUUUGAUCCGUGGCUCGAGGACGAACGCUGGCGGCGUGCCUAACACAUGCAAGUCGAGCGGGGAUGUAUGGAACGAAGCUUCGGCCAAGGGAAGUACAUUCUAGCGGCGGACGGGUGAGUAACGCGUGAGCAAUCUGUCCCAGACAGGGGGAUAACACUUGGAAACAGGUGCUAAUACCGCAUAAGACCACGAGGCGGCAUCGUCUUGGGGUAAAAGGAGCAAUUCGGUUUGGGGUGAGCUCGCGUCCGAUUAGCUGGUUGGUGAGGUAACGGCCCACCAAGGCGACGAUCGGUAGCCGACCUGAGAGGGUGAUCGGCCACAUUGGAACUGAGACACGGUCCAAACUCC